rnacentral:rRNA from 1 species
GUGGAGAGCAGCGAACGGCUGAGGAACGCGUAGGUGACCUGCCCUUUGGUGGGGGACAACUCCGGGAAACCGGGGCUGAUACCGCAUAAGUUCUUCUGGUUGCGGCCAGAAGAGGAAAGUCGUAAGACGCCGAAGGAGGGGCCUGCGUCCCAUCAGGUAGUUGGGGGGGUAAUGGCCCACCAAGCCGACGACGGGUAGCUGGUCUGAGAGGACGAUCAGCCAGAGGGGGACUGAGACACGGCCCCCACUCC